AGCCUUAUGUAAUUGCCUGCUUCUAGUUUACGUGGUGAACCUGAACAGCAGGAUUAUGAUACUACGUAGUUUAUGAUAUUAUAUUAGGCAGCUAUGUCUUUCAAAUUGUAGAAGAUUGAUAUCAAAAUAAUAUUGGAACUUGUGUAUAUUUGUCCGUCUUUAGACUUGCUCCAAUGGGGAAUCGAAUGCUUGAACAUUACACUUAUAAUUUAUAAAUCACCACUAUCAUUAUAAGGAA
rnacentral:lncRNA from 1 species